rnacentral:rRNA from 1 species
UACGUAGGACCCAAGCGUUAUCCGGAAUCACUGGGCGUAAAGCGUGUGUAGGUGGGAGUUUAAGUGAGAUGCGAAAUCCGGCGGCUCAACCGUUUGGACUGUAUCUCAUACUGGACACCUUGAGGAUGGCAGAGGCAAGUGGAAUUUGUAGUGUAGCAGUGAAAUGCGUAGAUAUUACAAGGAACACCAAUGGCGAAGGCAGCUUGCUGGGCCAUAUCUGACACUGAGACACGAAAGCGUGGGGAGCGAACAGG